GGAUUUGCUCCACGCCGGCACGCCCCGCUCCUCUUCUUCCCUCCCCCUCCUCCACGUCCCCCGCAGGCCGUCCGCUGCAGCUACCGCUACCGCUACCGCUACAGCGCAAGCCACAACCGCGCCCACCGGGCACCGCCGGUGGGGCAGAUGGUCGGCGAAGAAGCCCGUCUCCCUUUGGAUUGACGGCUGUGGGACCCGUUCGCCAAGGAGAGGCCGAAGUUCC
rnacentral:rRNA from 1 species